rnacentral:lncRNA from 1 species
CCCGCCGCAACCGCAGCUCCCCGCUCGUCCCCUCCCUGGAGACGGUGUCGUGCGACCUCCCUCUUUGAGGACGCGUCCUGACUCGCUCCACCAGAUAUUGGAUCAUGAACUGCAUCACCGAUCAGCCAUCCUGAUAGGACAGUGGAAUGACCUGUUGACAUUCCAGAGUGUUUUCCAGUUCGAUCACUAGGUCACUCCAGGGCAUGAGACAGCUGAGUGGAAAGACCACCUUUGCUCUGGGUCAAGUUAUAGCAACACCAGGAAGCACAAUGCAGUGAAGACAGUGUGGUUGCAGGGAGGCGGACCCUGAUUCCAGUACUCAUCAACGUCGGUCACUUUGGGCAAGGUACUGAAGCCCCGCCCCUCACUCUUCUCAGUUGUAAAAUAUGAAGAUAUUAUCUUUCAUGUAAAGGAGCUGUGAGACUUAAAUGAGAUACUGAAUGGAAAUCAUACAGAUGUCUGAUGACUAGUAAGUACAGUUUGGUCGGCAGUGGUUGGUCAUGC